rnacentral:rRNA from 1 species
CAGGCCUAACACAUGCAAGUCGUGCGGUAAGGCCUCUUCGGGGGUACACGAGCGGCGAACGGGUGAGUAACACGUGAGCAACCUGCCCUUCACUUUGGGAUAACUGCCGGAAACGGUGGCUAAUACCGGAUAUGACUGCCUUGCGCAUGUGGGGUGGUGGAAAGCUGUGCCCUGUUGGGGUGUGGUGGUGGGGGAUGGGCUCGCGGUCUAUCAGCUUGUUGGUGGGGUGAUGGCCUACCAAGGCUUCGACGGGUAGCCGGCCUGAGAGGGUGACCGGCCACACUGGGACUGAGACACGGCCCAGACUCCUACGGGAGGCAGCAGUGGGGAAUAUUGGACAAUGGGCGGAAGCCUGAUCCAGCAACGCCGCGUGAGGGAUGACGGCCUUCGGGUUGUAAACCUCUUUCGCUUGCGACGAAGCGAGCCUGUGAGGGUGAGUGACGGUAGCGGGUAAAGAAGCACCGGCCAACUACGUGCCAGCAGCCGCGGUAAU